GCACUGGUGGUUCGGUGGUAGAAUUCUCGCCUCCUGUGCAAGAGAUCUGGGUUUGAUUCCCAGCCAGUACA
rfam:Loxodonta africana unplaced genomic scaffold scaffold_3, whole genome shotgun sequence.